AAUGAUAUAAUUUAAACAAAAUAAAAGACUGUGAUUCUUAUUCUGAAAGUUAAAAUCUUUCUAUCAUUC
rnacentral:tRNA from 1 species